rnacentral:lncRNA from 1 species
AGAAGGGAAAAAGGCGAGAGCUGAGUUUAGACCUGGACACCUUUCUAAAUAUCAUAGAGCAAAAGUAAAUUGCCCCAUUAAGGCUUGCACAUUACACUUAGGGUAAGUACUGUUCAACUUUCCUUUUUUAUAGGAGUUGCCUGCCUUAACUUUUCAGCUUAAUACGAGCAGCGUAAAUUAAGAAAAAAAAUUAACUCAAUCAGUUAUUUCACUGAAAUAGAAAAUUUGCAGAUUUUAAAGGGUAUCUAUUGUGCAUAAAUUUGGGGAUACGAGAAUUUGCCAGUGAAAUGAUAGCAGCUCUGUGCUUACAGAGCAAAGAUGUGCUAGUCUGAACAUGCCUGAUCUCAUCUGGAAUCGAAAGCUAAAUCUAGGUGGGCCUGUAAUAAUACCAGAAAAGGAACACAUGUAUCUUUUGUGCAACCUUUUUUUUUUUUUUUUUUUAAAGCUAGGCUUCCAAAGGGAAUGACAAAGAAGCAGGUUCUCCUCUUGCUUAAUAAGUAGUCAUAGUUUGCCUCUGGAGAUAUGUAUUUCCAGUUGUUUUAGUUGUUUUGUUUUGUUUUGUUUUGUUGUUGUCAUCGCUAUCGAAGAAUAUUCUUUCCUGUCAGUGAUUAUUAACACUUUCCGUUUUUCAGAAUGCUUUAACUCUGUUUGAUGUUUCCUCACUUGGUUACCUUUCUCAAGUCUGCGAUGACCCUCUCAGGCUUUGCCAUUCUUAUCGAUUCUUACCAGAAUGUACUUACUCAUUAGCUGUUUUGUUAUAGUUAUGGUGGAGAUAAUCUUGUUUUUCAGGCUUUUAUAACUAACCAAACAAAUUACCUUUUGAGGUGAAAUUUCUCAUAGUUAUCCUUGACACAGAACUGAACUUGUCUUGAAAAGGCUUGAAGAAAAUCCAAUUAGCCGUUUUUUGAGAACUGAAUAUUCUAAUAAAUGCAAAUGGAUUAUUUUACAAAAUACUUAUUGAUGUGCAAUGCUUUUCUAAUCUGUUUUUCUUUUCGUGCUUUAAAACAGACCCUGAAAAUUAAAUGUAUUAAAAAGAAAGAAAGAAAAAGAAAGAAACCUGCCAGGUUAAUACUGAUAUUUUAAAUACCCAAUUUAAAAUAAUGCUCAAAGUUUGAAUUUCUUUGCAACAUAUCACCUUUCAGUGUCAGUCAGUAAUACCUGGGCAGGUAUAUAUAUACAUUCACACCCACAGGGAAACAUGAAUCCACUUUACAGUUACAUUAAUUCUAUUUUAACCUACAAGAGAAAAGGUUAGCAUUACUGUAAAACUUUUGUUAAUUCAUUAUAUUUUAUUUUUCUGUAAUAAAAAAUUCACUGAACUAUUGCUUUCAUCCAAUUAUAUAUAUACUUAACACCCAUUUAUAUUCAAAUAUUUUAUCUUAAUUUAUGAAGUAUUUUUAUAAGUCUUAUAUGCUGCUGAAUUUUAUGCAGCUAUAUGAACGUUUAAGUUUUUUCUGAUACAAUUUGCUUUGUUCCGAAUCUGUUACUGUGUUAGAAGUUUUUUUCUUUCCCAAUCUAGAAAGAGUAUGGCCAUCUUUUCCUAUAUGUGAUAUCUAUACAUCUUCAGUAUUCUGAAGAAGAGAUUUUUUAACCUGCAAUCUCUUGGAAAGCUUUCAAACAAGUGGGAGAAGUAAUCUUUACUUUGCUUCUCCUUGAUCCAUCUGUUUGCCCUCACUGUACCACCCGUCACCACCAGCAACCCUGAAAAAAACAACAGUAAUAAAUAUGAUACGAUAAUUUUUCUGAUCACAGAACCAGGAAAUACCAGAGAAAAUUGUGGCAUAUGUAGGAAAAUGCCAAGAGCUUCUCCAGUAAGAUCAGCUGUUUUUAUACUUUUUUUUUUUCCUCUUGAAUUUUGUUUGUGACUUUUUUGGCUUGCUGAAGCACAUCCCCAUAAUCUUACGAAGCCACAGCAAAUUCCCAAUGCCACAACAAUACUGUGCAGCCGGGGAGAGGCCAGAAGAGCUGAUCCUGGGUGGCUGCAGGCUUCCCCAGCAAUGGUGCAAGGCAGGAGGAUGUGUAAUCUGGUCUAAAUUUGAAGAAGAGGGCAAGUAUAGCAUUUUUAUCUAGCUUGAAUAUGGCAUGGUAAUUCUGUAUUAAUGAGGUCAAUGGUAAAUGCAGUUCAGCUACACAUUUCUGUUUUUCCAGACAUACAAACACAUUCUGUGGAAAUAGAAAAUGUCUAAAAAAUGGAAAUGAUGAAAUAACUUGAGACAUGACAAAUCGCUUAACCUAUCUGUGUAAUAGUGUAUUUGUCAAAUAAAUAGAAAACCAUCUAUCCUCAUCUACUUCACAGCAGUAUUGCUAAGGCUGAUUGUGCACACAUAUAUUAAUGUAUAUAUCGUAGCUAUCUAUUUACAGCAGGGGAGAAUGGUUUUAAAAUAAAUGAAUCAGAGUUUUAUGUGUGCAUCCAUUGUGAAGAAUUCAGUUGUGUCCUUACCGUAGGAAGACAGGGUUAACUGAGAGUUUUGAGAGUUGUGGUAUGUGCUUUUCCAUUUGGGUCUGGG